UAGCACUCGCGCUGCGCACCUGCGCCCCUCUCCUCUCUCUCCCUCCGAACCCUAGCUAGACCGCGCCCGCCUCCCUGUCCUGCCGUCGUCGUCUCCUCCACCCGGCCAGCCGCCGCCGCACCUCCUCCGCACCUCCUCCGUCCGGCCAGCCGCCGCCACUCGCGCCCGUCUCCUCCGGCCAGCCUUCGCCCGCAACCUCCCCCCUCCCGUUUUCAGAAGGGAAGGGAAGGGAAGAGAAGAGGGAGAGCGAGCGAGUCAGGCGACGGGAAGGGAAGAGAAGAGAAGAGGAAGAGCGAGCGGGUCAGGCGACGGCCAUGGCCAUGGCGCUCGCAGAUCCGCCGGCCCCGUAGUCGCCGCUGCGCUCGCAGGUGAGCAGCGCCGGGAGAAGCCGCGGGAGGACGAGCUCAACGGCGCCCCGGGCGCUCACUGCCAAGAAGCGGAGGAGGAACUCGACCUGGACGACCGCCGCUGGACGAAGAGCCCCGAAAAAUUCCCCCAACCACGCCUGCGCCACCGCCUCUUCACCUUCAACCACGGGUUGCAGCGGUCAGAGGACCAAGUUGAAGCAUACUUGGCAAAUGGGCCUUGCCAUGAGUCAUGGUGCAACAGUGACCUCGAUGAGCAGGGCAAUGGUCAGAUACGAGUCAGCACCAAAGAUGACUGGAAGCACUCAUAACAGUUUACCAUGCUAGAGCUAUGUCAGGUUGUACAAGGGCAGUUAAUGAAUAUACUUGUGACACUUAUACUCUCAGCAAUGCCGACAAACAUGGUUUAUGAUGAUAUUGGUGGUCUGAAGCUUUAGAUCGUCGGGGCUGCUCUCAUUCGUUCAAUUUGCCCCUGAUCCUUCCAUUCUGCUGCUGCUCAUUAUUAUCAUACGAAGGCUGAUCUAUGUUCUCUGUUUGUUGGGUCCUCCGUGUCAUUAUCAACAAGGAACAUGUAUAUCCUUUCAAGUUCACUGAUGUGGUUACCACUACAACACACGUCCCUCCAAGGACCAAGGGUGGGCAUGAUCUUCUACAAGGUUGUUGUCUGUAACUAUUAGGAUAGGAUCAACUUUGCGGUGUCCACACCGCUACAAGUCAAGCUAAUAGAGAUAAAUGGGUAUCCAAUUUUAGAAAGCACACUUAAGAAACAUGCGCGGGUGUCUUUAGAUCCUAUGGAGCAUUCCUAAUAAUGACCAUCUAUUUAACUACCUUGGAUCAUUGCCAUUACAAAAUGCAGCAUGGCAUUCAUAAUGUUUAGUUAUUCAUAAAUGUGGCAUUUACUUCUUCUCCUGGCAUGAUAUUUAAGCAUGUUGCAUAUACCAAUCUGUUGAUGAUUCAAUUAUUGAUUCUGAUGUACAAACAGGCAAAACCAUUUCCUGUUUGGAUGAUGCACAUGGGUAUGUUUUUGUUAGUUUUCGGUGAUGUACGUCGUGAAGCAGGACGGGCGGACGGAGACGGUGCACUUCAACAAGAUCAUGGUGCGGCUCAAGAAACUCAGCUAUGGGCACUUCGACAAGAGCACUAUGACCCGUGCUCGUCGCGCAGAAGGUCUGCGUCAGGGUAUACAUGGGUGUCACCACCAGCCAGCUCGACGAGCUCGCCGCCGAGACCGCCGCCGCACUCACCGCCUCCCAGCCUGACUAUGCCUCUUUCUUCUGCAGCUUGCGGCGAGGAUUGUUGUGUCCAACCUGCCGCCAAGUGGAAAUAGUCUGUGUGGCGCUCGUAAAUAAAGAGCAUUCUUGUAGAAAGGUACAAGAAAGAAUAGGGAAACUUCUGUCAUUUUCUUUGGUCUCUUAAAAAUAAAUGGUGAUAUGGGCUGAUACAUUGCUAAAUUACAUGAUACAAACUCACUUCUCUUUUUUGAUUUUUGGUUUACUUCGUUGUGCUACAAUGGCUCUCCUAGGAAUGUUCUUCCAUGUUUUGAUGUGCACAAUAAUCCAGAAAGUGCAUGCAUCCAGAAACCAAAUAGGAUUUUUUGUGUGUUAUCUUCUCAUAAAUCUUGUGCUCGUCCAAUAAGAAUAAGGUUUGGUGGUAUUGCUUUUGUUUGUCACCCGGUAGAUUUCAGACUUCAAGCUAGCUGCAGUUAUUUCAGGUUAUAUGUGCAAAUCCUUGGUGUGACAUGAUUGGUAACUGAUCACGAAUACGUUGCAAUCUCAUAUGUCUAAUUCUUAAUUUAUGUGGUACCAUGGUCUAAAAAUUGGUCCUAAAGAUACAUGAUGUUUUUGUAGAAAGUUAAGACAGUUAUUUUGAAACGGAGGGUGUAUUAUAUUAUUUUGUUCCUUUUUAAUUUGGUUCUAAAGAUAUGGUUUCAUAGUGAUCAUUUUGCAUCAGCCAAGCUUGCCGUUGUUACAAAUAGUUGUUCUGUUGUCCUCAAUUCACUUUCUCGGUUUUUUAAUGCCAAAAGCAUUAUUGUUUCAUUUUUUUAGUUAUUGAUCAUGCCAUUUUUCUUUCUGCCUUUGUAGCUGAAAGAUUAGUGAGACUGACUAAAUUCUAAACAUGUUCCAUGUGACAUAAAUAGCAUAUUGAUUUCAUCUUGAAAUAAUCAUAGCUGAGGGACGAGGUUCGUAACCGAGAGUCAUGUGCAGAGCUGGAGGAAGAAGUUGCGAGGCUUGGAACUCUCCUUGUGAAAGGCUCAAGGACAGCAGUGAGGACAAUGCCUCUUUAGUUGUAAUUGUGAUACUCCUGAUGUGCAAGUAAACACUCCUGUGAUACUUCUUGUGCUAAAAUGUUGGUUGUUAGUACAGAGAUGGUGACAUUAUUUGGUUCACUUGGUAUUGAUUUCAUGAUUUGUGGUUAAUACAUGAUGUAAUACAAUUCACAUUGCAUUAUAUUUCGAGUUAUAUCUCUUA